rnacentral:misc_RNA from 1 species
UCCGGUUUGUCACCGGCAGUCACCUUAGAGUGCCCAACUAAAUGCUGGCAACUAAGAUCAAGGGUUGCGCUCGUUGCGGGACUUAACCCAACAUCUCACGACACGAGCUGACGACAGCCAUGCACCACCUGUGCAUCACCCUCGAAGGCGACGCCUUUUCGGACGCUUGCAGAUGCAUGUCAAGCCCUGGUAAGGUUCUUCGCGUUGCAUCGAAUUAAGCCACAUGCUCCACCGCUUGUGCGGGCCCCCGCCAAUUCCUUUGAGUUUCAACCUUGCGGCCGUAGUCCCCAGGCGGUUCACUUAAUGCGUUAGCUGCGGCACCGAGGGAUACCCCCCAACACCUAGUGAACAUCGUUUAUGGCCAAGACUAC